rnacentral:rRNA from 1 species
UACGAAGGGGACUAGCGUUGUUCGGAAUCACUGGGCGUAAAGCGCACGUAGGCGGAUGUGUCAGUCAGGGGUGAAAUCCCGGGGCUCAACCUCGGAACUGCCUUUGAUACAGCACGUCUCGAGUCCGGAAGAGGUGGGUGGAAUUCCUAGUGUAGAGGUGAAAUUCGUAGAUAUUAGGAAGAACACCGGUGGCGAAGGCGGCUCUCUGGAACGCAACUGACGCUGAGGCGCGAAAGCGUGGGGAGCAAACAGG